rnacentral:sRNA from 21 species
UGGUAGAUGCACCCUGAUUGACGUUCCCUGGCUCACUGAUUUGGGCUAGGGAUUUUUUUU